AUCAGCGCACGAGGUGUGCCCCAUCGAUACUUUAUUCCUUGGGAUGUGAGCGUGGAUGCCAGGGGUCUCAGCGACUUCCGCCACUGCAAUGUUGAGCGGGAGAGGUCAGCAUAGAUCGUGAGGUCCCUUUCUUCAAAGUGGUAUGGGGUCUUCCCCCUGGUAGCUUGUAAGAUGGCUGCUCUGUCUUGCCCGUUUUGAAAUUUAACCAGGAGGUCACUGGUGGUUGGGGCUGUGUUGGACUGAGGCUUGGGUAGACGAAACAUUCCAUCUAGCUGAAUGCCCUUUGCUGUUUUAGGGGGUAGUAAUGCCAUGAACAGCCUACGUAGAAAGUGUGGCAUCUCUGCCAUAGUAAUGGAAUCCGAUAGGCCUCUGACCUUCAGGUGUUUCCACCUCCUCUUAUCCUCU